GAUGAAGAACGUAGUGAAAUGCGAUAAGUAAUGUGAAUUGCAGAAUUCAGUGAAUCAUCGAAUCUUUGAACGCACAUUGCGCCCGCCAGCACUCUGGCGGGCAUGCCUGUUCGAGCGUCAUUUCAACCAUCAAGCCCCCAGGGGCUUGUGCUGGGGCCCUGCGGCUGCCCGCAGGCCCUGAAAACCAGUGGCGGGCUCGCUAGUCACACCGAGCGCAGUAGCACAUCUCGCUCAGGGCGUGAGGCGGGCUCCUGCCGUGAAACCCCCCACUGUAACCCCAAAGGUUGACCUCGGAUCAGGUAGGAAUACCCGCUGAACUUAAGCAUAUCAAUAAGCGGAGGA
rnacentral:misc_RNA from 1 species